GAACGCUGGCGGCAGGCUUAAACAUGCAAGUCGAGCGGUAACAUUUCUAGCUUGCUAGAAGAUGACGAGCGGCGGACGGGUGAGUAACGCGUAGGAAUCUGCCUAGUAGUGGGGGACAACAUGUGGAAACGCAUGCUAAUACCGCAUACGCCCUACGGGGGAAAGGAGGGGAUCUUCGGACCUUUCGCUAUUAGAUGAGCCUGCGUGAGAUUAGCUAGUUGGUGGGGUAAAGGCCUACCAAGGCGACGAUCUCUAGCUGGUCUGAGAGGAUGAUCAGCCACACUGGGACUGAGACACGGCCCAGACUCCUACGGGAGGCAGCAGUGGGGAAUAUUGGACAAUGGGCGCAAGCCUGAUCCAGCCAUGCCGCGUGUGUGAGGAAGGCCUUAGGGUUGUAAAGCACUUUCAGGAGUGAGGAAGGGCGUAUAGUUAAUACCUGUAUGUUUUGACGUUAACUCCAGAAGAAGCACCGGCUAACUCUGUGCCAGCAGCCGCGGUAAUACAGAGGGUGCGAGCGUUAAUCGGAAUUACUGGGCGUAAAGCGCGCGUANGCGGUUUGUUAAGUCGGAUGUGAAAUCC
rnacentral:rRNA from 1 species